AUGGGAGGAGGGUUUCCUCUGUCGACUCGGGCUACCCCGGGAGUCUUUAGGCUGGUCCGACCGACGGGAGGGCAGGUGCCGGUGCCGGUGCCGAUGCCCACGUCGCCGCCGGGGCCCCCCGCGGGCCUGGGGGGCGGCCCUGCCUGGGGGCCCGUGAACCUCGACAGCGCCUGGGUCACCGUGUUCCGGGCCAGCUGUUUGGCCACGAGGUUGUCACGACUCGUGGGAGACACGUCCCUGGACGGGGGGCUCUGCGUGGUGUUCCCGUUCUGGUCCGGGUCGUUGGCGCUGGCCUGGAAUCGGAAUCUGGCGGCCUGGACGCGCGGGUUGGGCCCCGGGGGGAAGGCGGCGCUGGUGCCCGGCGGGUGGGAGGCGGGCGCGGGCGCGGGCGGCGGCGGCGCGGGGCCCUGGGGGGCGGCGGCACCUGCGGGGGGCGCGGGGCCCUGGGGGGCGAUGGCACCUGCGGGGGGCGCGGGGCCCUGGGGGGCGAUGGCACCUGCGGGGGGUGGGGGCGCAGGGCCCUGGGGGGCGGCGGCACCUGCGGGGGGCGGGAGCGCAGGGCCCUGGGGGGCGGCGGCACCUGCGGGGGGCGCGGGGCUCUGGGGGGUGAUGGCACCUGCGGGGGGCGCAGAGCCCUGGGGGCCGACGGCACCUGCGGGGGUCACGGGACCCUGGGGGCUGAUGGCACCUGCGGGGGGCGGGGGCGCAGGGCCCUGGGGGGCGGCGGCACCUGCGGGGGGAGCGGGGCCCUGGGGGCCGAUGGCACCUGCGGGGGGAGCGGCGGCGGCGGCGGCGGGGGUCACGGGGCCCUGGGGGCCGGCGGCGCCUGCGGGGGGCGGGGGCCCGUUCUCCUCGGGCCUGCGGGCGGCGGGGGGCGGGGGGGCGCGCGGCCGCCAGGUCCCCCGGGGGGGGCCGCCUGGCGCUCGGGGGGCGGCCGGCCGGGAGGGGCACCCGGGCCCGCGGCCCCCCUGGCGCCCCCGGGGCACGGGCGGGCGGGCAGGGGCAGCGGCGGGCGGCGGGCGGGGUCGUCGGGCGGCGCGUCGGUCUGGCAGGCGGCGUGGCAGGGGGCGGGGGCGGGGGCGGGCGGGGGCGAGCGGCGGUCCUUGGCCUGGUCCCUGGCCUGGUCCCUGGCCUGGUCCCUGGCCUGGUCCCUGGCCUGGUCCCUGGCCUUCCGCGGGGGCGCGAGGCCCGGCCUGCGCAGCUGCUCCAGCGCCCGGCGCAGCCGCUCCAGCUCGUCCCGCAGCCCCGCGGCCAGCGCCUCCUCGCGGUGCAGCCGGGCGCGCAGCUGCUCGCGCUCCGUGUCCGAGUCCGACAGCUGCUUCUCCAGGUGCGCCUCCAGGUCUGCGCCCCUCCGCCGCUCGGCGCCCAGCUCCUCCUGCAGGGCCCGGCCGCGCGCCCGCUCCUCCUCCAGCUGGGACACGGCGGCGUCCAGCUUGCGCGCCUCCUCGAUGA
rnacentral:lncRNA from 1 species